rnacentral:rRNA from 1 species
AGUCUAUUCACGUUUGUGGACAGGACAAUGUGGUGUUUAGGUGUGUACCUGGGAGCGCUGGCCUACUCGAAGUCCAACUCCGAUUAUGGCUAGGACCAUGCCCAGAGCGGGUGAAAGUCCCGUUCGGGUAGGUUGAUUGCAAUAUGGAGCGCUCCUCAGAUGUACAUACCUUCGAGUCGGAUUGCUUGAGAAUGCAGUCCAAAGUGGGUGGUAAACUCCAUCCAAGGCUAAAUACUGGCACGAGUCCGAUAGUAGACAAGUACCGUGAGGGAAAGUUGAAAAGUACUCUGAAGAGAGAGUAAAUAGCACGUGAAGCCGCUUGCAGGGAAGCUGGUGGAGUCAAGCUUCAUGUUUGGAGGAUUGUCAUCAGGACUACCGAUGUUGUUUGGGACGUGAUAUUGAUGAGCCUGGAAAGGGUUUGGCGUGCUUCGGUGCGUUUCAAGUCAUUCUGGGUAGAGUGUUUGUGUCAGUAUCUAUCUCCCUGGUCCUGGUGCCUUAUUCUCUAGGCAUACAUCACAGUCAAUAAUGGUUCGUGCUGUGUGAUCGUUUAACUGUGCUUUGGCGGGCAUUCGUGUCUGCCGGGUGCGGAAUGGCAGGUAGCUUGUGCGGGCCUUGUGUUCGUAUCUUGCUUAUGUUGAUUUCGAUCUGCUAGCGAUCAUGUGCAAAUUUAACAGUAUCGGCCUUAUUGCUCUAAUGCGGCGU